CUUUUUAAAAAGGCCCUUAGUGGAUUAGGGUUAACUUUUUAGGAGGGGGCUUUGCGCCCAUUUUUAGUUUAGUUGGGUAGGGGUAAAUGGCCUUACCCAAGACCGAUGAAUGUGUAACUUGGACUUGAGAAGGUUGAACCAGCCCCCAUUGGGGAAUUGAGACCACGGCCCCAAACUCCUUACGGGGAGGCAAGCAAGUAGGGGAAUUUUUCGGCCAAUUGGAGGGAAACUCUUGACCCGAGCAAACGCCCGCGUGAAACGACGAAAGUACUUUUGGUAUGUAAAAGUUCUUUUUAUCAAAGGAAGAAAAAGCAAAGUGGUGAACCCAUUUUUUUUCCCGGUACUUGAUGAAUAAGCCCCCGGCUAAUUUAUGUGCCCGCAGCCCGCGGUAAGACAUAAGGGGGCAAGUGUUAUCCGGAAUUAUUGGGGCGUAAAGGGUGCGUAGGCGGUCUAGUAAGUCAGUGGUGUAAUGGCAACGCUCAACGUUGUCCGGCUAUUGAAACUUGCUAAACUUGAGUUAGAUAGAGGCGAGUGGAAUUCCAUGUGUAGCGGUAAAAUGCGUAAAUAUAUGGAGGAACACCAGAGGCGUAGGCGGCUCGUUUGGUCUUAACUGACGCUGAGGCACGAAAGCGUGGGGAGCAAACAGGAUUAGAUACCCUGGUAGUACUCCCCGUAAACGAUGAGUACUAAGUGUCGGGUUAAACCGGUACUGAAGUUAACACAUUAAGUACUCCGCCUGAGUAGUACGUACGCAAGUAUGAAACUUAAAGGAAUUGACGGGACUCCGCACAAGCGGUGGAUCAUGUUGUUUAAUUCGAAGAUACCCGAAAAACCUUACCAGGUCUUGACAUGUUUUUGCGAAACGGUAGUAAUAUCGUGGAGGUUAUCAGAAACACAGGUGGUGCAUGGUCGUCGUCAGCUCGUGUCUUGUGAUGUUAGGUUAAGUCAUAAAACGAGCGAAACCCUUAUCGUUACUUGCCAGCACGUUAUGGUGGGGACUUUAACGAGACUGCCAGUGAUAAAUUGGAGGAAGGUGAGGAUCACGUCAAAUCAGCAUGCUCCUUAUGUCCUGGGCUACAAACGUGAUACAAUGGUUGUUACAAAGGGUAGCUGAAACGCAAGUUGUUGGCCAUUCCCCAAAAACAGUUUCAGUCCGGAUUGAAGUCUGCAAUUGGACUUCAUGAAGUUGAAUCGUUAGUAUCGCGAAUCAGCAUUUGCGGGAAUUUGUGUUUCCC
rnacentral:sRNA from 1 species